rnacentral:rRNA from 1 species
GGGAAUCUACCCUGAACUGCGGAAUAGCUCCGGGAAACUGGAAUUAAUACCGCAUGUGCCCUGAGGGGCAAAGAUUUAUCGGUUCAGGAUGAGCCCGCGUCGGAUUAGCUAGUUGGUGGGGUAAUGGCCUACCAAGGCGACGAUCCGUAGCUGGUCUAAGAGGAUGAUCAGCCACAUUGGGACUGAGACACGGCCCAAACUCCUACGGGAGGCAGCAGUGGGGAAUAUUGGACAAUGGGCGCAAGCCUGAUCCAGCCAUGCCGCGUGAGUGAUGAAGGCCCUAGGGUUGUAAAGCUCUUUCAGUGGGGACGAUAAUGACGGUACCCACAGAAGAAGCCCCGGCUAACUUCGUGCCAGCAGCCGCGGUAAUACGAAGGGGGCUAGCGUUGUUCGGAAUUACUGGGCGUAAAGCGCACGUAGGCGGAUAUUUAAGUCAGGGGUGAAAUCCCGGGGCUCAACCCCGGAACUGCCUUUGAUACAGGAUGUCUUGAGUCCGGAAGAGGUGAGUGGAAUUGCGAGU